GUUACAAAAGACCACCUUGCACCUCACAAAAAGUUUCUCACACCAAAACUCUAACAAUUACAAAAAAUGAUCUUUGAAGCAAAAGGAUAAGAGGAAGAUUUAACCUGAACAAACUCGGCAAGCCGCUCUUCACUUAGGGAAGGAAACUGGAUUUGGUUUCGGUAAGAGAAUAGAGAAAAUGAAGGAUUUUUUUCAUAGGGAUGAGAAUGUUCGACUGGUUUUAUAGAAGGGAGAGAAGGCAUGGAUUACUAAGAUAAGAAUGCUUAGAGAAAAUUGAGCGUGUAUUCUUUUCAUCUUUUAUGUUUAGAUUUUUUUUAAAUUAUUAAUUGUGUUUUCAAGAGCAUUGAUAAUUAGCAUUAUUUUGUGUGAUGAAGACACUGCCCAAGAUCUAUACCUCUGUCCAUUAUUUAAAGCUUUUUUACCGUCAUUAUGGAAAUUUACUCAUUUGUUUU